GACGAACGCUGGCGGCGUGCCUAAUACAUGCAAGUAGAACGCUGAAGAGAGGAGCUUGCUCUUCUUGGAUGAGUUGCGAACGGGUGAGUAACGCGUAGGUAACCUGCCUGGUAGCGGGGGAUAACUAUUGGAAACGAUAGCUAAUACCGCAUGAAAUUGCUUAUCGCAUGAUAAUUGAUUGAAAGAUGCAAUUGCAUCACUACCAGAUGGACCUGCGUUGUAUUAGCUAGUUGGUGAGGUAACGGCUCACCAAGGCGACGAUACAUAGCCGACCUGAGAGGGUGAUCGGCCACACUGGGACUGAGACACGGCCCAGACUCCUACGGGAGGCAGCAGUAGGGAAUCUUCGGCAAUGGGGGGAACCCUGACCGAGCAACGCCGCGGGAGUGAAGAAGGUUUUCGGAUCGUAAAGCUCUGUUGUAAGAGAAGAACGGGUGUGAGAGUGGAAAGUUCACACUGUGACGGUAUCUUACCAGAAAGGGACGGCUAACUACGUG
rnacentral:rRNA from 1 species